CGGCCGGGCCAUGAUGUCGGCCACCCAAGCGCUCACCUUGGGGCGGGCGUCGAACAGCUUCUUCACAGGUGAAGCCAUCAGGUUGGUCAGGGCCGGGAGGUGGUGGAGGUCGGCCAGGGUGAAGCAGUCGCAGCCCAAGUACUUGGACUGGCUCAACCGGGCCUCGUAGAUGUCGAGGACCUUGGCGAGCUUGGCCUCGUUCUCCUCGACUACUGCGGCGUCCGUGGCCAUGCCGAACAUCGGCUUAAACAGGAGCUCCCACUGCAGCUUCGACCCCACCGGGUCAAACUGGUGGGCCUCGACCUCCAUCCACACGCCCAAGGUCGCCAUGGGUUUGCCCUCGCACACGAGGGGAGUGCCCUUGUCCUUGUAUACAUUAGCUAUGUAUUGAGUAAUUGCCCUUGAUUCUGCCACCACAAAGAACAAAAUCAAGAUGUAAACCAUGCUUCGCGUAGUUGUUUCUUGUUCAGUUGACGAAUUGAACAGUCAAAGAUUGACUAAACACUUGAUCCUUCAUCAUGGUCGCAUGAUCUAUCAGCAAUCGAAUCAGCACCCUUUGACUAAAUACUUUCAUCUUUCAUGAUGGUCACACAGUAUAAUACACCACGAACAGAAAGACUUACCGAAUAGCUUCAAAUCUCCGUCCUCAAAGGCCGGGACUUGACCGAAAGGCUGCACAGAGAGAUCCAGAAACGUUAGAUCUGAGCGAGACGAAAGAGGGUUUCUUGAAAGAGCACAUUCAGACCCCCCAAGACCGAAAAUCUGCGAGUAUAAAGGUCGAACUGGUGGUGGGCAGGUAAGGAGACUUACGUUGAGGGCGAGGAAGUGCUCCUUCUUGUGCUCGCCGGCCCGCAUGUCGACGGGGACGAACUCGAACUCGAGGCCCUUCUCGUUGAGGGCAAUGAGUACCCGCAUAGCCGCGGUGGAUAAGACGCUUCCGUGGACCUUCAUCACCAUGGUGGCUGGCUCUGCUUUCUUUUCUUUAUCUCUCUCUCUCGAAGGCUAAAUGCAGAACAGAUGUGGCGAAAGAGGGUGGGUUUUGGGCUCUUUUUAUAAGGGUUUCAGGAUCUCGUUCUGGAAUGAUCCAAUUGACUUUUAAAAUUCGAUUUUUCUUUCCCAUUCAACGAGAUAAUUUUGCUUUUUUUAUCUUUGUUGUUUAUACUUAGGAGAUGGAGAUGCAAAAAUGGCUCCUUGUCGGAUGAAGAGAGAGAGAGAGAGAGAGACGGACGCGACGAUUCCUGAGAAGCCAUUUUGAUAUUCAUCUCGCACUUUCUUCUCUUCAUUCGAUGUCUGAACAGAUCAAAAGAAAGGCGCAGACACCUACGUGCGCACGUCAUGCGGCGAGUAGCUCGUGCCAAAAGCGCCUAUCUACCGACCCAAAAAAAAGAAGCGCCUAUCUACCGACAAAAAAGAAAAAAAAAGCGCCUAUCUUGGGAAGGAAGAUACAUUUAGGGGAUAUUUGGUAGCUAUCUAAAUAGUAUCUGAUUCUGAUUUUUUCUUUCUGAAAGUAAUUUUGAAAUGGAAUCUCGUUUGGUAAAAUUUUUGUUCCAGAAAUAAAUUUAUAUUUUUCUUGUUCUCGAAAAUAGAUUUGAAAUAGAAUCAAGAAUAAAAAAAAAAAUUGACUCUUAUUCUAUAAACAAAUCUAAAAAUCAAAAUCAACUUUUCUUCUUCUUCUUUUUUCUUCUUCUUCAUCAACCGACAUCCCGCAAAUACUAUCCGCCGCCGUCCACCAUCGUUCGCUACCGGUCGCCGACAACCGGUCCGGCGAGCACCGAAGGCUCGCCAGGCCAAGACGAGGUCCAGCGAGCUCGCUGAGGCUUAGGCUUGGCCUUACCAGAUUUAGCGAGGUCGAGCCUUGCCCAACUACCGGCGAUGCUCGGCCAACGAGGGCCAACAAAACUUCAAUGAGGUCGCCAGCCACAAGAAGAAGAAGAAGAAGAAGAAGAAGAAGAGAAAAAAUGGGAAAAAAAGUAAAAAUGAAAAAAAAUAAUUGAUUUGGAACAGAAUCAAUAAGCAUGAUACCAAACGCAAUUCUAUUCCAAAAUCAGAAAUUUUAAAUAAUUAUUAAAUGGCUUAAAAUGUUUAGAAAUUGUUCCUAAGAAUAGAAUAAAAAAUAAUCAUUUCUGAUUAGAAUUUGUUCUCGAGAAUAAAAUCAUUACCAAACACACUCCUAAAGGGCGAGGAUGUAACUCCACUCUUCAGAAAAGACUUUGAGAAAACGUGAAUCAUGUUUCAAAAAAUGGAUUACUACAAAUGUAUCAUGCAGUCCCUAAAAUUUAAUUUUGUACAACGUGAUCCGUGAGUUUUUAUUAUAUAAUAUCAUUUCUAAAUUUUUAAUUUAUUUUAUAUAAUCUUUACAUUAUUGAUAAAUAUUUAGUAUAAUCUUUAAAUUAUAUGAAUUUGUUUAAAAAUUUAUUAUCUAAAUUCUAGAUUCGAACAUAUUGAGAAAGUUUGACCAUACGUUGGAUUUUUUAAUAGAAUAUUAGACACGUGUUGGAGUAUCUAAUAUGACUCAAAAACUCUGGAGAAUGUCGACGUUUCCCAUAGCAGAGUUAGCUUUUUUGAUUGGUCAAAUCAAACAAAUUAAUAAAAAAUUUUAUUAUACAUUUUAAAAUAUUAGGGGUCAAUUACACGACAAAAUUUAAAAUUUCCGAUGCAUAUAUCCCUUAGUGUAAAGGCAGUACUCAUCCAUGAAUAAAGUGCAGUGAACUAGGCGAAGCUUUAGGGAAGCCUUAGGCCAUCCCAUGGAGAUGAUGAGAGGAGGGGUUUUCAUCAGUAGAGAUAAUACCAGCACUUGCAGAAAUCAUUACAUUCUAAUGAAACUACAAAGAUGAGGCAUAUAAAACAAUGACCCAUGAAACAUAAUUUUGCAUCUGUCCAAUCUUUUUAUUGCUCAUAAUAGAAAAUCACAGAACUUGCAGUUCGGCGAAACGCCAGCCUGGUCAUCAUCUCCGACUUUGAUGAUUGAAGACGACCCUUCAGAGAAAAUCCCACAUAAAACAUUGACCAAAGGAGGAUAGAAUCGACAGCAAAAUACGAUUACCAACUCAUAUAGAAAGGGGUAGAAAAGGUCUAAUGUUAUCGUCCCCUAGCACCAGAUGAUUUAAGCUAGACCCAUUGCUUCACUGCUGGUUUCUCAUGGUAAGAACCUUGGCCAAAGCCGGCGGGGUCACGAUGUCAGCCACCCAAGCACUCACCUUCGGGCGGGCGUCCAAUAGCUUCUUCACAAGUGUCCCCAUCAGGCUGGUCAAGGCCGAGAGGUGGUGGAGGUCAGCCAGGGUGAAGCAGUCGCAGCUUAAAUACUUGGACUGGCUCAGCCGAGCCUCGUAGAUGUCGAGGACCUUGGCAAGGUUGGCCUCCUUAUCCUAGAUGGGCUAAGUCAAACGGGUUUUUCAUUUGAUGGGUCAAGUUAAGUCUGUUCGCCCACUCAGCCCAUAAAAGGAAAAUACAGUUAUUUUCUAAGUGAAAAUAACUGUAAUAUAUAAAAUAAAAAUUAAAUGUUCAGAGAGAAAACACGUUUCUCCAUUUUCUUCUCUUUGAAACAGUUCACUCUCUCUUGAAGAAGGAGAAUUCUGAGAUUGCAACAAUGUUUUUUUGAACAUGUUUCUGCGUUCGUUUUUUAUAUUCGAUCGUUUGAGUAUCAGUUCGAUUUUCAGAAAUCUAUUUGCCGCAUCCUUGACUACUGCAGCAUCCGUGGCCAUACCAAUUUUCGACUUGUACACGAGCUCCCAAUGCAGCUUCGACGCUGCCGGGUCAAACUGGUGGGCCUCGACUUCCAUCCACGAGAAAAUAUUGGCUUUGCCCUCGCAAACGAGGGAGCGCCCUUGUCCUCGUAUACGUGAGCAAUGUAUUGAGUAAUUGCCCUCGAUUCUGCCACCACGAAGAGCAUAAUCAAGACAUAAACUAUAUUUCGCGUAGUUGUUUCUUGUUCUGUUGACUGAGUGAACAGUCAAAGAUUGACUAAACACUUGAUCUUUCAUCAUGAUUGCACGAUCUAUCGGCAAUCGAAUCAGCGCCCUUUGACUAAAUACUUUCAUCUUUCAUGAUGGUCACACAAUAUAACACAUCAGUAAUAGAAAGACUUACCCAAUAGCUUCAAAUCUCCGUCCUCAAAGGCCGGGACUUGACCGAAAGGCUGCACAGAGAGAUCGAGAAACGUUAGAUCCAAGAGACGAAGGAGGUUUUCUUGAAAGACCACGUCGAGACCCCACGACCAGAAAAUAGUUAGGAAUACUGUGGCACGGGCGGUGGGCGGUGAUGGAGACUUAAGUUGAGGGCGAGGAAAUGCUCCUUCUUGUGCUCGCCGGCUCGCAAGUCGACGAAGACGAACUCGAACUCGAGGUCCUUCUCGUGGAGGGCAAUGAGGACCCGCAUCGUCGGGGCGGAGAAGACGCUUCCGUGGACCUUCAUCACCAUGAUUGCUCGCUCUGCUUUCUUUUCUUUAUCUCUCUCUCAGAACCUGAACGCAGAACAGCUGUGGCGAUCAAUGGUGGGUCUCGGGCUCUUUUUAUAAGGGCUUCAGGAUCUUGUUCUGGAAUGAUGUAAUUGACUUGAACAUUUCGAUUCUGGUAUGCCCUUCAACGAGAUAAUCUUGCCUUGUAUCUUUUAUUGUUUACAGUUAGCAGGUGGAGAUGACAGUAAUGGCUCCUUGUCGGGAUGUGGGGAGAGGGAGAGAGAGACGCAGGCGAUAAGUCCUCCGUAGCCAUGUUCCUGUCCGUCGGCGAGGUUCUUAUCUCCCAUUCUUGGAAAGGAGAUACUAUUGCUGUACCAUUAUUAUUUCCUAUUUCUGCUAAAUUCAACACCAUCUAUCACGGCCCUACUUUUUUCGUCGUCUGAAAGUUUCUCAGAAAAUGAAAUCCAUCGGUGGCAGUUGGGAUUGGACAGCCUGAACCUGAAACUGCGUGGACUCUACCGGCGGAUUUGGUCCAAUUUAUGAGAAUAUCAAUGUGGUUCCGAUUUUGAGGCAGAAUUGAAUUAGACCGACUAAUUAUUUUUUUAUUUAUUCAAAAAAUUAGUGAAAUAUGAACUAAAUACUAAAGCAAUGAGAAAAAAAAAAAACUAUCGAUUCCAUUAGAUCAUACCAGAAUUGGAUCGAAUCGAUGAUGUGGUCCGAUUUCCAAUUGUAGGACUAAUCGAUCCAAUCCUCAGUUCUAAUUUUUGGGAACAUGACCAUCUCCUAGUCAGAUUUCCGAUUUCACCUUGGAAUUGAAUCGGAUCAGAAACUAAUCACCCUUACUCAAAAGGAGACAACAAAUCUCUGUGUAGUAGGUAGCACAUCAAUAAGUCACUUGUGUGAAACGUGCCUCUACUCAGAAGGAGAAUUUUUUGAAAAUCAAAAAGGCAAUCCUCUCUUUAGAAAGACUUUGAGAAAACAUUAAUUAUGUUUAAGAAAUGAGAGAAAAUGGAAUGAAUUUUCAGGUGGGUUGAAAAUAAAGAAAACUUCUAAUUUUACUUAAGGCAUAAAAAGAGUGGAAAGUGUUUCUUGUUUUCCUUUUCUUUUUCUUUUUUUUGUAAUUUUCUUCUCUCUUCCAUUGACCAUGAUUGCAAACAUAAGGAAAGGACUAAAAGUUGAAUUUGUUCUUCUUUUUUUUAUCGAAGAAAAUUUUAUUGAAAUUACGAACAUGGUGUAAAGAGCUCCGAGCAAGGCGAAUCUGAACAAAGGAGGGCCCAAAGGGUUUGAGGAGGAAAAGAAAGCCGGUUUUGUGGAAGUGAGCCAAUCCAUCAUGUCGGUUACUGCAUUAGAAGCCCGCGAAAAAUGGGCUAUGCGAAUGGAUGGAUGGGCCUUGAGUAGCUUUAUAAAAUUCAUGAUAAGAAGUCACUCCUCCCGGUUGAAAUUAUUCGUAAACCCGCUUACCAAAGCUUCCACGAGAUCGGCAUGGUUGAGCUCAACUGCAUAGUUUGCGGAACUAUCUUCACUCAAAACUACAAGCUGGAUUGCUUCAAGGACGGCUAGGGCUUCCGCCUAAGAAGGUGAUGAGAUCUUCACCAAUUUGGGGAAACCCGUAAUAAUAAUACGAGCACGAUCUCUGUAGAUACCAGCUACGGUGCCAUCCACCAAUUCAUCGACAAAGGAGCCAUCAACAUUGGAUUUUAGGAUUUUCUACUCCAAUGGAACCCAAGUCUGCAACUUAUAAACGUGGGAUCUUUUCUUGUAUUUGAUGUAUGAAAGAUCCAUUUUAAGUAAUUUGGUCGCUAGAAAUAUGUUGAUUGCAUGGUAUGUCGUGCGUUCAGAAAUUUGCCCCGAAAUACAUUAUAAAAAGAAAAUAUCAAUGAACUUCUAUGAAAUUGUUUCACGGAUUCAGGCAAUUGUCUUGAUCGUGAAAUAUCAUUGAGAAAAAGGAAUUUGUAUUAUUAAAAGAUUUCCUGCAAUUAUUUCUAGUAUGGAAUGAAUCAAUCAUCCACUUUGGUAUCUUAUUGAACAAAAAUGGUGAUAUUGUUCCUUGAUUGAUCAAUAAUUUCGAUUUUUAGAAAGUAUCAUGAUCAUCCAAAAAUAAUGGCUUCCAUUUUUACAAAUAAACGAUUUGAAGACCUAUUGAUUCUAACAACUGAUUGCAGAGUUGAUCAUUCGGACCUUUCAAUUCAUAGACGUGGAUCUCGAACCUAUGAAUGGGGUUAUUCAUGAAACUCACAAAGAAAAAAGGAAGUGAGUUAGACAAAAGAAGAAGAAGAAGAAGAAAUUUGGACAAAAAAGAUUUCGAAUAGCUAUCAUGAAUUCAAAUUAAUUAUGUUUAGUUUCUUACUCGGAGAAAGACGAUCCAAAAUUCCCAAUCACGGUACUUGCAAAUCGGAUCAUCCAUAUAAUAUACAAAAAGAAACUCCAGAUAUUUGAUAUAUUUUCCUUUGAAUGAGAUCUCAAUUCCAACGAUGGUUUCAUUAGAUAUCUUACAACUAGAAUCCUCUUUUUUCCGAUCAAAUUCCUCCAGCACUGCAAACCCAAGUUAAAUCCAGGCAUGAUACACUUUUUCGUUAUUGGGAGAACUUAAGUACUCUCUUUCGGAUCCAAGAAAAAGCUCUCGAAGAUCUUAAGAUCUUUCCUUUUGGAAGAUAAAGGAGCGAAAUGAUCAACUUAUUGAUAUUGGAAGACCCAAGACCCAAACGAUUCUUCCAAUGUAUCAUUUCUAGGUCCAAUGGAAUUCAUAGGUAUAGGAAAAUGCCCUAUCAAAUAGAGAUUUUUUUUCUUUCGGCCAUAUUUCAAUUAUUAAUAUGAUAUAUAAGGACUACUACUACAAAUAGUACUACACCCUUGAUCGUGAAAUAUCAAUUGCUUGUUGAAUCUUGUGAAUUGCGUGAAAGUAGGAUACUCCAAAUUCGGGGGUCCAGGAGUUUUAUAAAAUGUUCUUGGUGGAAAAAAAUGUGGAUGAAAGAUCCCAUGAAAUUGAAUUGGGUCCAUGAAUCUAAGAAAUAGUGAGAAUUAUGGAUCUCUCAAUUCGAAAAUCCAGGAUUUGAAUUGAUGUCCUUUCAUUGAUUUCUCCUAAAUUGCAUUAAUUUCUCCUAAAGAUUUCAUUUCAAUUGGAAUUUGGUUAUUCACCGUGUAUGAGGAUCCCUGCUAAGCAUCCAUGGUUGAAUGGUUAAAGCGCCCAACUCAUAAUUGGCGAAUUCGUAGGUUCAAUUCCUAUUGGAUGCAUGCCAAUGGGACACUACAAUAAAUCUAUUGGAAUUGACUAUAUAUCAAUGGAAUCUGAUCAUCCAUACAUAACAAAUUGAUGUGGUAUAUUCAUAUCAUAACAUAAGAUAUUGGGGAAGAAAAUUGAUUUAUGGAAGAAAAAUUAUUAGGGAAAAAUCAAUAUACCUUUAAUGCCGAAUCAAGAUCAAGUAGGACAUAAAUAAAGCAUUGGGUCGAACUCUUCUGAAAGGAUAGAAGAAUAGGACCUAUUAUCGUUAGAAGAAUGGGACCUAUUCUUGGGCAUACAAAGCAUUACAGACGUAUGAUCAUUACACUUCAACUAGGUUAUUCUAUUCCCAUCUUAAAAAGAAACGAACUUAAAUCAAAAUGGUUAAUAUUAAUAGCAUAGCAAUAUAUUUAUACAAAACUUCUAUCUUGGGAUAGAAGUUUUGUAUAAAUAUAUCGCUAUGGAGCCGUAGACAUACACGAAAUAAUUUGAUCUAUGGACGGCAUCAUUGUAAUAAAGGUUGUAAUGCUAGAGGAAUCAUUACCGCAUGGCAUAGAGCAGGAUUUUCAAAUACUCCAAUGAGUUGUAGUUGCCAUGGGUAAUUUUAAAUUUGAUUUACAAUGCACUACUUAUAAGUAAAAUGAGAAAAACGGUGCAUUGAAAACUGCAUAAUUCUCUUUAUAUUUUUUUAACAAGUUCAUAAAAGCACUUUUAAACAAAGUCCAAUUUGGAUAGGAGAAUUUUCAUUUGGCCCCACCAUUUUGAUCAUUUGCUUGCAGCCAUGCAAAGAAAGUGACCAGAUUUGGCCCAUAAAUUAUAAACAAGUUAAUAAAGACUUAAGUGGAAAGGACAAAUAGUAACUUCAACCUCAAAUAUUUCCCAGCCUGAGAGUUUCUUAGUAGAUCCACUGUUCCAUGUCGUGAGAUCAGCCUUUUGGAUGAGGAAUGAGUAGUGUGCAAAAAUCAAGAAUUCAUUGUGCAAUUGGCACGCGCCCACCCUACCAGAGCAGCCAUGGCCAGGAUCCGGAAGAAACUUGUUGUGGCCAUGAUGGUGAGCUCGACGGAGCUCAAGUGGCCAGCUCAAAGCAGGGACAGUGGGAGGGUGGCUUCUGGUUUCUUAUCAAUUUUAUUAUAUCCUCUUUCUCUUUCUCUAAACUUUUUAUUAUAAAAUCUUUUAAUUCUUUUCCAGACGUGGCGUUAGGUAGAGUCAGCUUUUAGUUGGUCAAAUCAAAUGAAUUAAUAAAAAUGUUCCUUAUACAAAUUUGAAUAGGAUUCAGUUCGUACUAUUUAAAAGUUUUAGGUCAAUUACAUUUGCUUGAUGAAUUUUAGAAUUUCUGAUGUAGGUACCCCUUUGUGUAAAGGUAAUACUCAUCCAUGAAUAUAGUCCAGUGAACUUCUAUGGUACUUUAACAGUUGAAAGCGGGUGAAGCUUUCGUGACUAGUAGGGAAACCGUAGGCCAUCCUAUGGAGAUGAUGAGAGGAGAGGUUUUCAUCAGUAGAGAUAAUACCACUACCAGCACUUGCAGCAAUCAUUACACUCUAACGAAACUAGAAAGAUGAGACAUACAAGCCAAUGACUCAUGAAACAUAACUCUGCAUCUGUCCAAUCUUUUUAUUGCUCAAAAUAGAAAAUCACAGAACCAGAAGUCCAGUUCUGCGAAACACCAGCCUGGUCAUCAUCUCCAACUUUGAUGAUUGAAGACGACCCUUCAGAGAAAAUCCCACAUAAAACAUUGACCCAAGAAGGACAGAAUCAACAACCAAAUACAGCUAACAACUCAUAUAAAAAGGGGUAGAACAGGUCUAAUGUUACGGUCCCCGGCACCCGAUAAUUUAAACUAGACCCCUUUGCAUCACUGCUGGUUCCUCAUGGCAAGAACCUUGGCCAAAGCCGGCCGGGCCAUGAUGUCGGCCACCCAAGCGCUCACCUUGGGGCAGGCGUCGAACAGCUUCUUCACAGGUGAAGCCAUCAGGUUGGUCAGGGCCGGGAGGUGGUGGAGGUCGGCCAGGGUGAAGCAGUCGCAGCCCAAGUACUUGGACUGGCUCAGCCGGGCCUCGUAGAUGUCGAGGACCUUGGCGAGCUUGGCCUCGUUCUCCUCGACUACGGCGGCGUCCGUGGCCAUGCCGAACAUCGGCUUGAACACGAGCUCCCACUGCAGCUUCGACGCCACGGGGUCAAACUGGUGGGCCUCGACCUCCAUCCACACGCCCACGGUCGCCAUGGGUUUGCCCUCGCACACGAGGGGAGUGCCCUUGUCCUCGUAUACAUGAGCAAUGUAUUGAGUAAUUGCCCUGGAUUCUGCCACCACAAAGAACACAAUCAAGAUGUAAACUAUACUUCGCGUAGUUGUUUCUUGUUCAGUUGACGAAUUGAACACUCAAAGGUUGACUAAACACUUGAUCUUUCAUCAUGGUCGCACGAUCUAUCAACAAUCGAAUCAGCACCCUUUGACUAAAUACUUUCAUCUUUCAUGAUGGUCACACAAUAUAAUACACCACUAACAGAAAGACUUACCGAAUAGCUUCAAAUCUCCAUCCUCAAAGGCCGGGACUUGACCGAAAGGCUGCACAGAGAGAUCCAGAAACGUUAGAUCUGAGAGAGACGAAGGAGGGUUUCUUGAAAGAGCACAUUCAACCCGCCAAGACCGAAAAUCUGCGAGUAUAACGGUCGAACUGGUGGAGGGCAGGAACGGAGACUUACGUUGAGGGCGAGGAAGUGCUCCUUCUUGUGCUCGCCGGCCCGCAUGUCGACGGGGACGAACUCGAACUCGAGGCCCUUCUCGUUGAGGGCAAUAAGGACCCGCAUAGCCGCGGUGGAUAAGACGCUUCCGUGGACCUUCAUCACCAUGGUCGCUGGCUCUGCUUUCUUAUCUUUAUCUCCCUAUCUCGAAGCCUAAAUGUAGAACAGAUGCAGAACAGAUGUGCUUUAUUAUCUUUAUCUCCCUAUCUUGUUUUGGAAUGAUCUAAUUGACUUUUAAAAUUCGAUUUUUCUUUCCCAUUCAACGAGAUAAUUUUGCUUUUUUAUCUUUGUUGUUUAUACUUAGGAGAUGGAGAUGCAAAAAUGGCUCCUCCUUUUCUUUUCUCUCGCGUCCUUCCUUUCUUUUCCCUCUGCACCUUGUCAGAAAAAGGACAAAGUCCUUUGUUGACCUGUUGAAAAAAACGAGAGAGAACUCCCUUUUUUUUAAAUCUAACGUCCGCCCCCUCUUUCGUCCGUUUGCGAGCGGCUUUUAUGGGCGAGGUAUUAAGGCUUUCUAGAAUAUUUUAUUUCCUUUUUCACAUCGGAUUCACAUUUCCUUUCUCAACAUGCAUGAAGAUAUAUUGUCGAAAUAUGUACCCCACAUGCAAUAUUUCUUUUUAUUUUCCACAUCUCUUCUAGCCUUGUUUGAUUUCCUUUAUAUGCACUUCAUAUCUUUCCACAUUAAAUUAUGCAAAAAAAAAAGAAUAUUCUCCAUCGAUUUUUAUUAUAUAUUGCCAAAAAUUCAAGAUUAUAAUAGGAUUUUCUCAAAUUCUAAAUCUUGUCAAGAUGAGCUCGUAAUAUCUCCUUCUCACACUUGCCCUUUUUGAGAAUAUAUGAAUAGAUUACAUGAACAUACAAAAAAUCCUCUAUCAUAUCACUAAAAAUAUCGAAUCGUCAAUUCUUAUAAGUUAAUCUUUGGUCAUCAAAAAAUAAUGGGCUUGGGCCAAUUCCAUUUCAACGCAGGCUUAGUCCAACUUGCUAAAUUUAAGCUCAGAACCAUCAAAUUAAAUCCAUUCGUCACCAACCCAAUGCAAAUGUAAUAAAAAAAAAAAGUUCUCUUAAAACUACAUGUUAUGUAAUUUAAUUAUAAUUUUUUUUUGUUUAUGGGUUAAAAAUUAAUCUCUAAUUUUUAAAAGGGAAAACCUCAAAUAAGGAUUGAAAAUGGCUUCGUUUUCUCAAAAAAGAACCUAAAGUGAAGUUUGUCUCAAAUAAGGACCUAAAGUAGUCAUUUAGUCUCAAAAAAUGACCUAACUCGCCGGCCAAUGAACUAAUGCAUUUCUGAUGCGUAUUCCGGUGACCUAAUCAAGGUAUUUUCAUCCAAAAAAUAUUCUCUUUUCAUUUUCCUUUUCCCCUGUUCAUCUUCUCCAUCUGCGAGCAGACCUCCAAUAUCUCGCCAGUGAAGUAAUUGCCGACGAGAUCAAGCCACUUCAGCUUCUUGAGCCUUGCCACCUCCAGCGACAGCGGCCCCGUGAACUUGUCAUUGCCCAAGUGGAGUUCUUCAAGCUAGGUUAUCGCCUGUAAGACUUUGCUGGGGAAGAUCCCAAAGAGGUUGAGGAAUUGGAGGGAGGUGGGGCUGCCGAGCUUUGGCGGGAGGGUCCUGGUGAGGUUGUCGGUGGUGAGCGUGAGGUUGACGAGGUCACAAAGAAGGCCAAUUUUCGGGUGGGAUGUAGCUCGGGAGGCCGACGGAUGUGAUGUUGAGAGAGACGACCCACGAGCCAGCGUCGCAUGUGACUUCGGUGAAGGAGCAAUGCGGAAAGGGCGGUGGCAAGAAGGAGGAGGAGGAGUUGACCCAGUCGCUGAUGGCGGCGGAGGGAGGCUCGACCAUGGCGGUUUUGGGCUUCAAGAGCAUGUCCAGGUCGCUCUGUGCGAGGGAAGCAGAGAUGAAGAGGAGGAAGAAGAAGACUCCAUUGUAGGGCAGUUUCAUCCUCAGUGAGUUCGACGAGGCCAGCAAGGGCUCGCCGACCUCGCCGACCACUGGUAAGGGUAGGCGAGGGCUUGGCCCUCGCCUGCUGCCAACGCCUGCUACCGGCGAUAGGCGUUGAGCCCUCGCUGGCCUCAGGUGAGGCCAACCCACACCGGUCCCACGACCUUCGCUGGCCCUUCCCUACUUCCGAUGUCCUUGAUUUGGGCAAUGCCUAUCUUCGACGAAGAAGACGAUGAAUAGGGACAACCAUGGGUAGAUCAAGAAGAAGAUGAACAGGAUAAGGAAAACAAAAAGAUAAUAUUUUUUGGACAAAAAUACUCCAGACCAGGUCGUUGGAAUACGCAUUGAAAAUGCAUCAAUUCGCCGGCCGACAAGUCAGGUCCUUUUUUGAGACUAACUUAUGUGGCCAAGAGACCAUUAAAACUAUUUUUAUUACUCUUUUAUUUAUAGAAAAAAAUCUCCUUGUUAGUUUUUGUUGGAAAUAUGAUUUGUUUUUUUUAUUCUAAGUAUCUAAAUGCGGUUAAUUGAUUCUAUGAAUCCAUGAGAUUGGAUAUUAGGACAGUAGUAUAGGAAACAACAUAUUUUGUAUAUUCUUUCCUAUCGUACUCUUUUCUUGUAUUAUUAAUAGGUGUGUAAUACAUGUACAAACACAGCAAUACACAAUACAUAAAAUUCCUCCAAUUCAUUCUCAGUUUUUGUCAAUUUUCUUUCUCAUUUUCUAUCAGUUUCAUCUUCUACUUCAUGUGGGACUAAGGUUCCAAGAGACCCACAAGGCACUUCAAGCCUCCAAGAGUCCCACAUUGACUAAACAUUUAAAGAGCAGAGAUUGUCUAUAAAAUCUAAGCUAUGCAUAACUUUUAGCCAAAUUAUUCACGGCUUUCAUGGUUAAAGUUAAGUGUGAAACACACGAAGUGUGAAUCACAUUUGAAUAUUUUGCACGUGGAAACAUGUGUGAUUAGUUUUGUUGAAUUGCUCGAGAACCGAAUUGGAUUGAUCGGUCUGGAGCGCGGUCACUCUUUAGUGCAAAAAAGUAGAGCCGAUUUUGUUGGACCGGACCGGACCGGACCGGAACCAAUGGUCGGUCCGGUUCCCGGUCCUAGGACCAAACGGUCCGGUCCACGGUUUGCAAUUUUGGGAAUCGGUGCUCCCGGUCCGAUUCCCGGUUCCAAGGUGGAACCGGACCGAACCGGGAACCGAUCACCCCUAGCUGGCCCUUCCCUACUUCCGAUGUCCUUGAUUUGGGCAAUGCCUAUCUUCGACGAAGAAGACGAUGAAUAGGGACAACCAUGGGUAGAUCAAGAAGAAGAUGAACAGGAUAAGGAAAACAAAAAGAUAAUAUUUUUUGGACAAAAAUACCCCAGACCAGGUCGUUGGAAUACGCAUUGAAAAUGCAUCAAUUCGUCGGCCGACAAGUCAGAUCCUUUUUUGAGACUAAAUGACUGCUUUGGGGCCUUAUUUGAGAUAGAUUCCAUUUAAGGUCUUCUUUUGAGAAAAUGGGACCACUUUAGGUCUCUAUUUGAGAUUUUCCCUUUUUAAAAUGAUAAACAACUAAUCGUGGUUCUUUACCCAAAAAAAAAAAAAAAACAACUAAUCGUGGUUGUCAAAAUUUAUAUGUCAACACACCUCUUAGAAAUAAAAGAGCUUAAAUAAAAAUACUUAAUAUUAAUAGCAUGUUGAUACAUUUAUACAAAACUUCUACCCCGGGCACACGUAAUAAAGUCGUAGAUAGUCAAGUGAAAUCUAAUAUGCGAAAUAAUUUGAUUUAAGGACAGCAUCAUUGUAUUAAAGGUCGUAAUGCCAAAUGAAUCAUUACCGCGAGGCAUAGAGCAGGAUUUUCAAAUACUCCAAUGAGUUGUGGUCACCGUGGGUAAUUUUGAAUUUGAUUACAAUGCACUACUUAUAAGUAAAACGAGAAAAGUGGUGCACUGAAAACUGCAUAAUUUUCUUUAUUUUUUUUAACAAGUUCAUAAGAGCACUUUUAAAGAAAGUCCAAUUUGGAUAGGAGAAUUUUCAUUUGGCCCCACCAUUUUAGUCAUUUGCUUGCAGCCAUGCAAAGAAGUGACCAGAUUUGGCCCAUAAAUUAUAAGCAAGUUAAUAAAGACUUAAGCGGAAAGGACAGAGUAACUUCAACCUCAGAUAUUUCCCAGCCCGAGAGUUUCUUAGUAGAUGCACUGUUCCAUGUCGUGAGAUCAGCCUUCAGGACGAGGGACGAGUAGUGUGCAGAAAUCAAUAAUUGAUUGUGCAAUUGGCACGCGCCUACCCUGUAAGAGCAGCCGUGGCCAGGAUCCGGAAGAAACUUGUCGUGGCCAUGAUGGUGUGCUUGACGGAGCUCGAGUGGCCAGCUCAAAGCAGGGAUAGUGGGUGGGUGGAGUCCGUUUUCUUCUCAUUUUUAUUUAUCAUCCUUUUUUUUUUUUAGGGAAAAAGCCACCAAAAACCCUCCCAACUUUGCCUCGAGUGACAGAUUUACCCCGAACUUUGUUUUGUGACGUGAAAAACCCCGAAAUUUACUAACUGUGACACAUUUACCCCAAACUUUUAUUUGUGUGACAUAUUUACCCUAAAUCAUAAGGGAAUUUUGGUAUUUUUACUUUUAAAAACUUUUUUCUUUUUUUUUUUCUUUUUUUUCUUCUUCUUCUUCCUUCCUUCCGCCGGCCAUGGCGGAGCCGGCGUAGGAAGCCGAUUUUUGCGAGGGCCUCCCUACUAAAAUCAGGGGAGGUGCCCCUGGCGAGGGCACCCUCGCCCGACGCCGGCGUCGAGCGAGGGAGGCCCUCGUCCAAUCCAGUCGAGGGCUGCCCUCGCCGGACGCCAACUUCCCUCUGCCAGCCAGCCGGCGGAGGAAAGAGAGAAGAAGAAAAAAAGAAAAAAAAAAAGAAAAAGAAAAAGAAAAAAUAGAAAUAAUAAGACGAAAAUACCCUUAAUGGGGUAAAUGUAUCACAGUUAGCAAACUUCGGGAUUUUUCACGUCACAAAACAAGUUUGGGCUUUUUGGUGGUUUUUUCCCUUUUUUUUAUUCUCUAAAUUUUUAUUAUACAAUUUUUAAUUCUUUUCCAGAUGUGACGCUAGGCAGAGUCAACUUUUGCUUGGAUAGAAGUUUUGUAUAAAUGCAUAGCCAUGCUAUUAAGCCAUGCUAUUAAUAUUAAGUAUUUUGAUUUAAGUUUUUUUUCUUUCUAAGAGGUGGAAUAGAAUUUUAGUUGUCAAAUCAAAUGACUUAAUAAAGAAGUUCAUCAUAUAAAUUUAAUUAGGAUUCAAUUGUACUAUUUAAAAGUAAGUUUUAGGUGAAUUGCAUUUGCUUGAUGAAUUUUAGAAUUUCUGAGGUAGGUAUCCCUUUGUGUAAAGGCAAUGCUCAUCUAUGAAUAUAGUCCAGUGAAAGUCUAUGGUACUUUAACAGAUGAAAGCGGGUGAAGCUUUCAUGACUGGUAGGGAAACUGGAGGCCAUCCCAUCCUAUGGAGGUGAUGAGAGGAGAGGUUUUUAUCAGUAGAGAUAAUACCUGCACCCGCAGAAAUCAUUACACUCUAAUGAAACUAAAACGUCAAAACAUUUAAGCCAAUGACUCAUGAAACAUGACUCUGCAUCUGUCCAAUCUUUUUAUUGCUCAUAAUAGAAAAUCACAGAACUAAAAGUACAGUUCUGUGAAACACCAGACUGGUCAGCAUCUCCAACUUUGAUGAUUGAAGACGACCCUUCAGAGAAAAUCCCACAUAAAACAUCGACCAAAGGACAGAAACAACAACAAAAUACGAUUACCAACUCAUAUAGAAAGGGGUAGAAAAGGUCUAAUGUUAUGGUCCCCCAGCACCAGAUAAUUUUAAACUAGAGCCUGGGCUUCACUGCUGGUUCCUCAUGGCAAGAACCUUGGCCAAAGCCGGCCGGGUCAUGAUGUCGGCCACCCAAGCGCUCACCUUGGGGCGGGCGUCGAACAGCUUCUUCACAUGGGUCCCCAUCAGGUUGGUCAGGACUGGGAGGUGGUGGAGGUCGGCCAGGGUGAAGCAGUCGCAGCCCAAGUACUUGGACUGGCUCAACCGGGCCUCGUAGAUGUCGAGGACCUUGGCGAGCUUGGCCUCGUUCUCCUCGACUACUGCGGCGUCCGUGGCCAUGCCGAACAUCGGCUUAAACAGGAGCUCCCACUGCAGCUUCGACCCCACCGGGUCAAACUGGUGGGCCUCGACCUCCAUCCACACGCCCAAGGUCGCCAUGGGUUUGCCCUCGCACACGAGGGGAGUGCCCUUGUCCUUGUAUACAUUAGCUAUGUAUUGAGUAAUUGCCCUUGAUUCUGCCACCACAAAGAACAAAAUCAAGAUGUAAACCAUGCUUCGCGUAGUUGUUUCUUGUUCAGUUGACGAAUUGAACACUCAAAGAUUGACUAAACACUUGAUCCUUCAUCAUGGUCGCAUGAUCUAUCAGCAAUCGAAUCAGCACCCUUUUGACUAAAUACUUUCAUCUUUCAUGAUGGUCACACAGUAUAAUACACCACGAACAGAAAGACUUAC
rnacentral:lncRNA from 1 species